CAUGUAUACAGAUAAAUUAAUCGACCAAUUAUAUAUUUUUUUUUAACAAAAUUGAUAUUAAUAUAUCAUGAUUUUUUAGGUUCGCGGUGCAAGAUUCCAUUCGAGCAAAAGUAUCCUCGUGAUACACACAAAGCUGAUGAAUAUUACUUAGUGCCAAUAACGGUGAACAAUCUAUCAACGAUUGACGGACAAGUAGUGAAAUUGAAAUAAAUACAAAUCAGUGUAUAGUUUCAGAUAUGUUUAAUCCAUUUGAUAAUUACAACAAUCUUACAAAAGUGAAAACAAAAGUGAACGAUGUAUUUAUAUUAUUUUGUGAUCGUUUAUUGAAAAACAAGAGGACAUUGAAACUUUACUGAGAAGAGAUCGAAAAAAAACUGAUUGCAUUUUAUCAGAAGAUGUACCUGUUUAAAGAUAAACCAAGGAUGCUUAAUGAAAAUAUUUAUACUAAUAAGAUGGUAAACAUUCCAUUGUUUAUUGAUUGGAAACAUAAGAUCUUAAAAAGGGAGCCCUCAUUUUAAAUGAACUUUUAAAAGUUCUUUCAUUCUCGAUAAACAUGUGCUACAAUAUAUAUUAAAUUUUUUGUGCAACACGUGUGACCUAAAAUCCUUUUUGGUGCACAAAACAGCACAUAAAUCAGAUAAACUGAUACGAGAAAAUGCAAUAUUGUUGCAAAGAAAAAUUUUGCUAGACCAACGACAAAAGAGAAAUUAGACGAUUUUGUAAAAUUUAAACUGUUAACUUCAAUUAAAUUGCCAUAUAAAGAUCUGAUUGAAUAUACUAUUAGAUAUAAUUUUUUAAUUAUCUUGUAAAGAUCAUUUUUUUUAUUUCUUUUUAUUUUAUUAUUCUUUUUUUUUUUUUUUUUUUUUUUUUAUUACUUUUUUAUAUCAUAUUAUUUAUAACUGUUCGUCGAUCAAGAUUAUUUUAUGUUAUAUAGUAUACAGAUCUUUAGCAUCAUUGCUUUUGUUUAUCUACUAAAUUUGAUACUGUUGUAUAAAUUACACAAAUACAUAUUUUAUAUGGAUAUCUAAUUCAAUACUGGAUUUUGGUUUUAUUCAUUCGUGUGUUUACCAUCAAGUAUUACUUUAUUAGUUAUUGAAGUGAACAUGAACAAACUUAGAGUAAAAAUAAUCGCGUUCCUCUUGUUUAGAUCUAAUGAAGAAGAUAAAGGCAAAAUAGUCGGAAGAAAAAAUUUCGUUGAAUGUGCCAAAAUGAAAAAGAAAAUAAAAACAUUAUGAGAUGAUUGAAGAAAUCGUCAAGAAAAUAUAAUCAAAGAAAUGAAGAUUUGGAAAUUAAGAGAGAAUUGAUUUCUUGUGAUAUCUUUAAGAUCGAAAUAUUAAAAAUAUAUGUUGAAUCAUGAUGAUUUUCAAUAUGACGUUUAUGCUAAGAAAUUCAAACGUAAAAACAAUAUAGAGAAACUAAAAAGUGAGAGUACAUGAGGAGGCAUCGCUAUUUAUAUCUAUUAAUAUCAUGAUUUUAUCACGAUUAUAUUCUUUUAUUCUUACCUGCAGGUAUACUUUAGACGAAUAUAUUUGAUUGAAAAUUUGCAUUAAGGCUGAUUAUAUCAAACAUUUGAUAACUCACAAGAAAGAAAAUUUUAUUUAUUACUUCUGCGAUAUCUAACAAAUUGUCAUUGUAUUUUCACAAGAAUCAAAAGCACAAAACAAAUUAUUUGAAGCAUCAGUGUUCUAUUUGUAAGAAGAAACUUCAAUAUCAAAAGAAUUUGGAACAGUUAUCUGUGAUAACAGGAACAACGAUACACGUGUUAGAAAUGUGUUAGAAGUGUGGAUUGAAGUUUACAUGAAAAACAACAUUGAAGAAACGUAUUAAAACAUUCUAAUGAGAAAUUUUAUUUUUAUCACAUCUGCAACAAUGAAUUUGCAAGUACAACAAGCAGAAAAGUUUAUUUCUUAACUUAGUUGGGUGUCAGAUCUUAUUUUUAUACCAUUUUUGGAGGAAGGGAUUUUACAAAAAUUAAAAAAAGAAUUAAUCUGAUUAUUCUGAAGCUCCAACAUCGGUGUUCAUAAGGAACAUUAUAGAGAUCAAGACUCAAGAACAUUUAAUGCAUAAGAAAAAGAAAUAAACUGAAGUGAUCAUUCUACCACAGAAGUUUUUUCAAAGAAAAG